AUGCUGGUGUGUGUGUGUUGGUGCAGAGAUGACCUUUAUCGAGUGGAACUGGACCAUGUAUCUGGAGAUGAAAUGUUCUACAGCAAGAAAAGGACGUGGGAAUCCAAUAAGAAUGACAUCCGCAUCUGUAGAAUGAAGGGCAAACACGAGGUGAGCAUUCAAAUAACACAAAUUUUUUUCACAUUUCAGGGCCAUUUUUAGCACCGUCUUAGCGAGGAAAUUCAUUCACAGCACUUUGAGUGAUUUACUAUUGCCAAGAGCUUGAUGUUUCAAACCUGUGGCAGAGCUGGAUACAGUCUCACACAAAUAAAUUCUCCUGAAGAGUAAAUGUACAAAAUAAGGAUUUGGCUUAUUUCUGCCGGUUCACAAGGACAUGUAACUCUAGCCUCUCAGCGGAUGCUUUUAGCGUUAUUGCAGACAAUUACUUACAGCCUUGGUUAGUUAUUGGAUGUUAUUGAGGGGUGUGGAUUUUCCUGUUAUUUGCUUGUGUUUUUAACUCCUACUAUAAAUACUAGAUUUAGCUUACUGUCAUACUGCCAGUUAUCUUUUAUGGCUCUCUUUGUGUUUUAUCAAAUAUACCCUUCCUACAGCUAAUGUGUGUCUUAUGUUAGACAUGUUAGAUUUGUUAGCAUUCAAACAGUAAUGCAAUUCAUAUUGUGUUUUUACAGUUGCAUUUAUUUAUUUAGCAAACACCUUUUUUCAAAGGGGCUUACAAUCGAACAAUAGAGCCAACAAUAUUCAAAGUAUGCAAUGCCAACUUCAUUUGAUAAACUUAAAAAUAUUUUUGAUUAAUUCCACACAUUCUUAACUUCUGUCUUUCGUUAUGUACUUCUAGAGUAGGCCUAUCAACUGUUUUUACGAAACCAACAUGUAGAUGGCUCAUUACUGAGCAGAACAUAAGUGAACUGCUGCAGGAGCUGUCAGGUCCUAAUGUGCUUAAUAAAAGCCAAAACUGUUUCCAAUUGUGACGCCAGUAUGUGACACACACAACCUGCUAUAGCAAAAAGUACACAACUAUUGCCUUUCAGUAAAAUUAUAUUUACCACCAGCUUUCCAUGAACUGUAUAACUAUGGCAAUUGCAAAAAAAAAAAAUUCUACAAAAAGCCUCAUUAAAUUUGCCUAGGAAUGAAUUAAAAUGCAUAACUGGCAUAUUGAUAUAAAAGCACAUGUAGACCCAGAUUAACAUUGAUCUCAGAUAAGGGAUUGAUCACGAUGACCCAACAACCGACUAGUAAUUAGUUCAUUUAAACAUGACUAAUUGAAAUAAAACUGAAACUCUAGUCCCAUACUUAAAAAGAAGUACUUAAAAAAAGCUGUUUUGAAGAAACGAGAUCUAUCUAUCUAUAAUUUUAUAGUCAUAUUGAUGCAGUAUAAUCACAACAUUUUGGUCUAAUUGCACAGCUCUACAAACAAGCACAGCAAACCUGGAGUUUUUUGUUUUGUUUUUUGUUAAAUGAUCUGAUUAGUGAUUAGUAUUAUAUAUAUAUAUAAUUAUUUUUAAAUAGCAUAAUGACAUCAUCUGUUUUGUUGUUGUUGUUGUUUUUAAAUCACUGCUGUGGCCAUUUUCUGGCAUCUUUGGAUUUUGCAUCGGCUCUUGCACUGCUUUUUGAGUGUCCUGCCAUGAGUGUUGUAUUUUUAAGACUGCAUGAAGUGAAAAAUACUUCAACCAAUUCUUCAAGUCCCUUGAGUUCCAGCUAGUUGAUUUUGAAAAUGUGUAUUUUUUUCACAUCCCUUUAUCUGUCCUGCCCAAAUAAUUCUCCAGAGCUCUUUGUUCAAUAUUCUCUUUAACUUGAGAAGAUUGGAGUGUUUGUGAAGGCCUGUUUUGCAAGUUGCAGUCGGUUCUCACGUCUGAACCUCAGACUCGAUUGUGUCUCUCUUUGAUGUUUUUGUGAUAAAUCUGGUCUUAUUCUUCAAUGCAGAGGCUAAUUACCUUCUGCCUUCUGCCCACCUUAAUAAAGUAAGAGUCAUGCAUUCCCACUCAUAGAUGUGUAUGACUGCAGGGGAGAGAACUUCAAGGGACUGAGUGUCAAACCUGGACAAGGAUUAUUGUUUGGCAAGAGGGAGCUUACAAAUUAGACCUGUCUGCCACCCACCCACAUGUUCACACAAAUCUGAGACAUCAAACACACACCUGCGAAUCUCUGCCUCCGGCAAGUUCUGCAACAGGCUCUCAUACUCUCCUUGCUUUCUCUUUCUUGGUCUUUCCAUGUUGUUUUUGUUCGUAAUCGCUAAUUACCUCAUAAACUAUAAACUGGUUUUCCACAGAAAUCACCUUUAAUUGUGUGAGAUUGACAGAAUAUUAGCGCAGACGGACCAGAAAAUAAGUCUGUUUGAGACACAUGUCCAAUUAUCCAUCCUUCUGUCAGAGAUCUGACCGCACACCUCCACACACCACUGAUAUCAGACCUAAAACAUGAGACUGCUGGUCCAUAAGCCGCUUUUUUUUUUUUUUUGCACUUCAUAUGCUCUGGAAUAAGAUUAGAUGGACUUUAGAAAGUGCUGUCAGAUGAAAUGUGUUUGAUCUGAUGUAGCAUGUGUUCCUGCAGUAAUUGUGGUCUUGCUGCUUGAUUUAAGCUGACGUGAUUUCAUAAUGAAGGAGGAAAUUCAAUAUCCUUAUUCUGACUCCUCUCUCACACACACACACACACACACACACACACACACAGAUUACUACAGUGAGGAUCUGAAAAUAGCAUUGUGCUCAUGUGAGGAGAAUUGUUUUUAAAACUAAGACAGUUAAAACCAGUUUUUGUGAAUUGAAAUAAAUCUGAAAAAAAAAAAAUUAAUAUCAAAUGUACAGUAUAUGUUAAAUAUAUUAACUAUACUUAUUUAAAACAAAAAUGAGAAAUGUUGCCUUGGCAAUUAACUGAAAAGUAAUGAAUUGAAGUUACUAAAAUUAGUAAAAUAACAACUGAAAUAAAUACAUUAAAUAUAAUAAGAAAUAUUUAAAAAGAAGCUAAUAAAACUUACCAAAACGUAAUUAAAAUGAAAACAUAUAUAAAUGAAAAACACAUAAACAUACUUAAACAUAAUUUUAACAAAAAUGACAAUUAACUGAAAUAUAAUGUGUUGAAGUUAAAGUGCUAAAGCAUAAAAUGAAAACUAAAAUAAAUAAAUUAAAUCUAAAUUAAAACAUUUUUAAAAGUAAAAACGGUGACAAAAUAAUAUAACAGUAACAAAAUUACUAAGUACAAUAAGUACAAUUUAAAUGGAAACGGAAAUAUUAGAUGAAAAGUGAAAAUAAGAAAUGUUGUCUUAGCAGUUAAGAGAAGCAGAAUAAGAUGAAGUGUAAAAUUUUAUAAAAUGAAAACUGAAAUAAGUAAAUCUAAAUAAAAAUAAAAAAAAAUAAUAAAAAUUGCAAAAUCACAAAGAAUUACUCAAAUAUUUGUUUACUGGACACUAAAACAUGAUGUAAAAUGUAGAACUAUAAAAAAUGAAAAUUAGAAAUGUUGCUUUGCAAACAAUUGAAAUAUAAUAAGUUAAAGUGUAAGUACUAAAAUUAGUAAACUGAAAUAAAUUAAUUAAAUCUAAAUAGAAAUAACAAAUAAUAAAAAUUACAAAAUUACUGAAACUAACUAAAUAAACAACUUAAAACUACAAAGUAAUUGCACUGCACCUGGUAUAAAAGUGACCAGAUCAAAACAGUUUAAGUGAAAGCAUUGGCGGUAGUGCAUUAAAUCAUAAUAACAUCUUCAGAGGUGGAUAAAUGGAUCAUUCAUAAUAAUACGAAGAUGCAGGAUUUGAAUUUCUGUCACUUGUGCUGCUUUGAUUAGCUUUUAUGAAGUGCAAGAUAAACAGAUUUCUACAGCAAUAACACAGUGACUAACUACAAAAAGAUCACAUCUGCCGCCUGUGAUACUCCUAUAGGGAGUAUAGGAAAGUGUGUGUGUGUGUGUGUGUGUGUGUGUGUGUGUGGUGUAAUAGAUACACUCACAUCCUCUGAAGUAUCUAUUCUCUCUCUCAACGUGCUCAAGUUGUCAUUUUUAUUGGCUUGAAGGGCACUGCAGGAUGAGAACUUCAUUUGUGGGGUCGUUCUGAAUGAAAAUGAGCAACAGGAUCCCUUCAUGAACAAUUCACUGAAUAUCUUUUUGUUCGACCCUGAAGAAAAUUGUAUUGCUCUGAUAUUGCUAUUUUAUAGCUUAAGGCACUUGAGCAGGUUUGUCUCAGAUGUUUCGUCUAAAAUGUCUUAGGAGAAAUAAAAUAGGCACAGUGAGAUAAUUGUUAGGAGCAAUAAAAAUGUAGGAAAAAGUAUGUGAACCCAUUGGUUUUUUGCAUGCAUUGAAAUUUAUCCUGAAUUUCAGCUUGUAGUCACAACAAAUUGAAUACGCUGUGUAAACAUUUACAUUUAAUGUUUUUACACAUUGUAAAUUCUUACAUCACUUUUCGUUUUUAAUAUGAUGUCAUUUAUGAUUUCUCUCUUGUGUAUGUUCCUUUAUGCAUCUCAGAGAGACUUGGAGGACUACGUGUUUAACUGUGACAUAUGAAAUUAUAUAUAUAUAUAGGAACAGAGUUUAUUUAAGAUUUUUAACUGCAUUUGUUUUGAAUUUGUUGAAUAUCAUAUUUAAUACAUCAAAAAUCAUGAACUUUUUAAAAUGAUAUUAAAAGGCCUUUUACUUGCUUAAAAGUCUAAACUAUCGAUCAGACGACAGGAAUAUAGUAGAUGGUGUACAACAGGUUUUUUAGCAACAGUUUUGAUCAUAUUAAUCAUUUAGAGGCCUUAGAAAUGUGAGAAUCUUUAAAUGGUUAAGUAUUGAAUGUGCACUAAUCUGACAGCGAGUGGUUUGGGUGCAGAAAGAAGAAAAAAGUGAAUGGAGUGGGAGGAACGGGAGCGAAAGGAGACAUGCAGAGAGAGAAGAAGAAUUGGUGGAGAGUGAGGAAGAUGAAAAGAAAGACAGGAGAGGAAGGGAAUAAGGGAGAAGAAGUCAGACUUUGAUCAGAAUAGAAAGGAGUUUGCCGUGGUACGGGAUCGUAUACUGCCUUGUCACACACUCUAAUCUGAAGGAUAAAUCUUGACACUUUCUUGAUGGUGUUUCACAGAGACCUGAACCACAUGUGCUCUUCCUCAGAGAGAAACCUGCUU
ensembl:lncRNA